AUGAUAAGCCAAGAAACGGAGCUGGGGCCGUGUAGGAGAGAACCAGAGGAGGUGAGACUGGCGGACCAUGCUGUCAUCUUUCUACCACUGCACAGCCAAUUUAAAGACAUAAAAUCAAAUAUUAAGGCAAUGUUGGUUUACAAUUAUUUUCAACGCCAAAAGACGAAAUGGCCAAACUCGGAGGAUCUUCAGAGAGUUUUACUGAGGGUGGCCAGAAAACCCAAACUGUGCCGGUGUUUUACCGGACAGACCGGGAGGAAACCAACCAGUAAAACACAGACAGCAGGACAACGAAUUGGGCAUACAUUUCACACUUUCGUGGGCCUGAUGGGUAAAAGGCUCGAUGAUCAAGGUAUGCCAACCAUGUCUUAUUUUCUGCCUAUAUCUACCUGGUAA
rnacentral:lncRNA from 1 species